rnacentral:rRNA from 1 species
AUGGAGCAAGGCACACCAUAUUUGCUGGCAUCAUCAGCAGCCUGCCAAGGCCAAGGAGGAGGAGAUCUCACCCUGGAGCUGGGUUCCCUGUGUUUCAGCCAGAUGAUUCUACUCGAUCUCGUAAACCUUCUUCUCACAGCCAUCUAUAUCUCGAGCUUGCUGAUCGCCGCUUGCAAGAGGGAAUUCAGGGCCGUCAGGGCAGGGGACCUUCCAUUCCCGUGCGCCGUAGCUUCCCCCUGCUGCGCGCUUCUUGGCAUUGCGUGCGUCUGCCUGGGACUGGGAGCAUGGGGCUCCUCUCCCCACGGAGCACUGCUCUUCUUCCUGAGAGGCUUUGUGUGGGUGUCCCUGUCGGUGUCCUUGGUCGUCCGUCCGACGAGGUUCUCCGGAGCUGUGGCGAUGGCGUGGUGGGCGGUGGACGCUGUUCUCAUCACGGCCAACAGUUUGGAGAAGAUUGCGACGGGUGGGAAUCUGGGAGUUCUUGACGUACUGUCGUGGGCCGUGGGCUUCUUGCUUCUGCUGAGCGCGAUCCGAGUUUGCAGAAGCCUCGCCGCCGGCGAUGGAGGCGGCGCGGAGUCCGAGCCUCUCCUUGCGGCGGGAGGCGGGGAGAGGCGGGCGGCGUUCGGCGAGGCCGGGUUCUUCAGCCGCCUGACGUUCACGUGGAUGGACUCGCUGCUGCGCCUUGGGUACUCCAAGCCGCUGGGCCUCGGCGACAUCCCGCCGCUGGACGCCGACGACGCGGCCGCGGAGGCGUGCCGUAAGUUCCUCUGCGAGUGGCAUCGACGGAGGAGGGAGUCGCAUAAAACGAGCAAUCUCGUGCUCCGGGUGCUCGCCGAGUGCCACAAGAAGGAGCUGCUCCUGACGGCGCUCUACACGUUGCUACGCACACUGUCCUUCGCCGCGUCGCCGGUGAUGCUGUACUGCUUCGUGUCAUACUCCGAUCGGCAGGAGCGGGAGCGGGAUCUCGGCACCGGAGCCGCGCUCGUCGCCGGCCUUCUGGGCAUGAAGCUGGUGGAGUCGCUGUCGCAGAGGCACUGGUUCUUCGGGUCGAGGCGGCUGGGCAUGCGCAUGCGCUCGGCCCUCAUGGCCGCCGUCUUCGAGAAGCAGCUGCGGCUGUCCAGCGAGGGGCGGGGGCGGCACUCGUCCGGCGAGAUCGCCAACUACAUCGCCGUGGACGCGUACCGGCUCGGCGAGUUCCCGUACUGGCUGCACCUGGCAUGGAGCAUGCUGGUGCAGCUGGUCCUCGCCAUCGCGCUCCUGUUCUGGAUCGUGGGCGCCGGCGCGCUCCCGGCGCUGGCCCCCAUGGCCAUCUGCGGCGUGCUCAACGUGCCUUUCGCCAGGAUGCUGCAGCAGUACCAGUCGAGGUUCAUGCAAGCGCAGGACGAGCGGCAGCGCGCCACGGCGGAGGUGCUGCACAGCAUGAAGAUCGUGAAGCUGCAGUCGUGGGAGGACAAGUUCAGGGCGACGGUGCAGCGGCUGCGCGACGCCGAGGUGCGGUGGCUCGGCGAGACGCAGCUCAAGAAGGCCUACGGCAGCGCGCUGUACUGGGUGUCGCCGACGGUAAUCUCCGCCGUGGUCUUGGCGGGCACGGCCGCGGUCCAGAGCGCGCCCCUGGACGCCGGCGUGGUGUUCACCGUGCUCGCCACCAUGCGCGUCGUCUCGGAGCCGAUGAGGAUGCUGCCCGAGGUCAUGUCAGUCAUGAUCCAGGUCAAGGUGUCGCUGGACCGCAUCGGGAAGUUCCUGACCGAGGACGAGUUCCAAGACGACGCCGUGGACAGGACGCCGGCGUCCGACAAGAGCCUGGACGUGCACAACGGUAUCUUCAGCUGGGAGCCCAGCAAGGGCACCGCAACCCUGAAAGACAUCAACAUCACCGCAACCCGCGGGCAGAAGAUCGCCGUCUGCGGGCCUGUCGGCGCCGGAAAAUCGUCGUUGCUGUGCGCGACGCUCGGCGAGAUCCCAAGAAUGUCCGGAUCAGUGGCCGUGAGUGGCUCGCUGGCCUAUGUGUCCCAGACGUCGUGGAUCCAGAGCGGCACGGUGCGCGACAACAUCCUCUUCGGGAGGCCGAUGAGGAGUUCGGAGUACGAGAGGGCCCUGAAGUGCUGCGCGCUGGACAAGGACAUGGAGAACUUCCCGCACGGCGACCUGACGGAGAUCGGGCAGAGGGGCCUCAACAUGAGCGGCGGGCAGAAGCAGAGGAUCCAGCUCGCAAGGGCCGUCUACAACGACGCCGACGUCUACCUCCUCGACGACCCUUUCAGCGCCGUCGACGCGCACACCGCCGCCACCCUCUUCAAUGAUUGUGUCAUGGCGGCGCUGGAGGACAAGACGGUCAUUCUUGUUACGCAUCAAGUUGAGUUCCUCUCCAAGGUUGACAGGAUUUUGGUCAUGGAGAAGGGUGAGAUAACGCAGGAGGGAACCUACGAGGAGCUCCUGCAGUUCGGCACGGCGUUCGAACAGCUUGUCAACGCUCACCAGGACUCAAAAACAACACUGUACUCCAAUGCAGCGAAAGAAGGAGCCAUGAUUCAGUACCAACAGCCAAUGCUACAGCAGCAGGGCAGCGAGGCCGAAAUCUCCACCGGCAACCUGCCCUCGGUCCAGCUGACCCAGGAGGAGGAGAGGGAGCUGGGAGGGGCCGGACUGAAAACAUACAAGGACUACGUGUCAGUGUCCAAGGGCUGGUUCCUCCUUGUCCUCAUAGUACUCACACAGUGCGUGUUCGUCGCCCUGCAGUACCUCGCGACUUACUGGCUCGCGGCGACGAUCCAGAGCCACCGGUUCAGCGUCGGGAUCGUCGUGGGAGUCUACGCGGUGAUGACGACCGCCAGCUGCCUGUUUGCUUAUGUGAGGAGCCUUGUGGCUGCCCACUUCGGCCUCAAGGCGUCAAGGGAGUUCUUCUCGGGUUUCAUGGAUUCGGUGUUCAGGGCCCCCAUGCUGUUCUUCGACUCUACCCCAACUGGAAGGAUCAUGACCCGGGCUUCGUCGGAUUUGUGCAUCUUGGACUUCGACAUCCCGUUUACGAUGACCUUUGUGAUAUCCGGCACGGUUGAGGUGGCGGCAACCGUGGUGGUAAUGAUCAUGGUUACAUGGCAAGUCGUUCUGGUUGCUGUUCCUGCUGUGAUUGGGGUCCUGUACAUUCAGAGAUACUACAUUGCCUCGGCCAGGGAGUUGGUGAGGAUCAACGGCACCACAAAGGCGCCUGUGAUGAACUACGCCGCUGAAUCGAUGCUCGGAGUGGUCACCAUAAGGGCCUUUGCAGCGACGAACAGGUUCAUUCAGACAAAUCUUCAGCUCAUCGACAUGGAUGCAACAAUGUUCUUCUACACAAAUGCAGCGCUAGAGUGGGUGCUUCUGCGUGUGGAGGCGAUGCAAAUCGUGGUCAUUGUUACAUCGUCCAUUCUUCUCGUUAUGCUACCGGCAGGAUCAGUUGCUCCAGGAUUUCUUGGGCUAUGCCUCUCAUAUGCCUUGACGCUUUCUUCCGCGCAAGUGUUCUUGACGCGAUUCUACUCAAAUCUGGAGAAUUAUAUGAUCUCAGUGGAGAGAAUCAAACAGUUCAUGCAUCUACCAUCCGAGCCUCCGGCUGUUAUCAGCGACAGAAGGCCUGCUCCUUCAUGGCCAUCUGAAGGGAAGAUAAAUCUGGAGAACUUGAGAGUCAAGUAUCGCGAAAAUGCGCCUACGGUUUUGCGCGGGAUCACUUGCACAUUUGCAGCUGGAAACAAGAUUGGAGUUGUUGGAAGAACCGGGAGCGGGAAGACCACUCUCCUGAGCGCGUUGUUCCGCCUCAUCGACCCCUCCGGUGGGCGAAUUCUCAUCGACGAUGUCGACAUUUGCACCAUAGGACUGAAGGACCUCAGGAUGAAACUCAGCAUCAUUCCUCAGGAGCCAACGCUUUUCAGGGGCAGCGUAAGGAGCAACGUCGAUCCUCUGGGUCUGUACACAGAUCAGGAUAUCUGGGAGGCGUUGGAUAAAUGCCAGUUGAAGAAGACAAUCGGUGUCCUUCCUGAACUUCUUGAGGCACCAGUGAGCGAUGACGGAGAGAACUGGAGCGCGGGGCAACGGCAGCUCUUCUGCCUCGCGCGCGUCCUCCUCAGCAGGAACAGGAUCCUGGUCCUCGACGAGGCGACGGCGUCGAUCGACUCGGCCACCGACGCCAUCCUGCAGAGGGUCAUCAAGCAGGAGUUCUCAGGGUGCACGGUGAUCACCAUAGCGCACAGGGUUCCCACCGUCACAGACAGUGAUAUGGUCAUGGUUCUUUCCUACGGUAAGCUUAUAGAGUACGACAGGCCAUCGACGCUGAUGGAAAAUGGGGACUCAUCAUUCUUUAAGCUCGUCGCCGAGUACUGGUCCAACUAUAAGUGA